rnacentral:rRNA from 1 species
CAGCAGCCGCGGUAAUACGGAGGGAGCUAGCGUUGUUCGGAAUUACUGGGCGUAUAGCGCACGUAGGCGGCUACUCAAGUCGGGGGUGAAAGCCCGGGGCUCAACCCCGGAACUGCCCUCGAAACUAGGUAGCUAGAAUCUUGGAAAGGUCAGUGGAAUUCCGAGUGUAGAGGUGAAAUUCGUAGAUAUUCGGAAGAACACCAGUGGCGAAGGCGACUGACUGGACAAGUAUUGACGCUGAGGUGCGAAAGCGUGGGGAGCAAACAGGAUUAGAUACCCGAGUAGUCCCUGUCUCUUAUAA